ACAACGGAGGAGGUGGGACGACGUCAAGUCAUCAUGGCCCUUAUGUCCUGGGCUACACACGUGCUACAAUGGCCGGUACAGAGCGCAGCGAGGCCGCGAGGCGGAGCGAAUCGCUUAAAGCCGGUCCCAGUACGGAUUGGAGUCUGCAACCCGACUCCAUGAAGUUGGAAUCGCUAGUAAUCGCGCAUCAGCAUGGCGCGGUGAAUACGUUCCCGGGCCUU
rnacentral:rRNA from 1 species